rnacentral:lncRNA from 1 species
UGUAAGCUUCCAGAUCGAUCAUCCAUGGUGGUUGCUCUCGUAUAGGUCAAAAAGUUCUGAUUCCAUCACUGCUUGGAUCCAAUGAUUUUAGGCCAGACAUGUAACAAACUACUUGCUGGGCAAUGUGGAGGCUAAGAAAUGAAGUAAUUUUCAAAUUAGAAAAGUUUCACAACAUGUUAUCAGCACGAGAGUGCUCUCAUAAAAACCAUGUCGACUCAUGA